rnacentral:rRNA from 3 species
UUUUAUGGAGAGUUUGAUCCUGGCUCAGGAUGAACGCUGGCGGCGUGCCUAAUACAUGCAAGUCGAGCGAACGGACGAGAAGCUUGCUUCUCUGAUGUUAGCGGCGGACGGGUGAGUAACACGUGGAUAACCUACCUAUAAGACUGGGAUAACUUCGGGAAACCGGAGCUAAUACCGGAUAAUAUUUUGAACCGCAUGGUUCAAAAGUGAAAGACGGUCUUGCUGUCACUUAUAGAUGGAUCCGCGCUGCAUUAGCUAGUUGGUAAGGUAACGGCUUACCAAGGCAACGAUGCAUAGCCGACCUGAGAGGGUGAUCGGCCACACUGGAACUGAGACACGGUCCAGACUCCUACGGGAGGCAGCAGUAGGGAAUCUUCCGCAAUGGGCGAAAGCCUGACGGAGCAACGCCGCGUGAGUGAUGAAGGUCUUCGGAUCGUAAAACUCUGUUAUUAGGGAAGAACAUAUGUGUAAGUAACUGUGCACAUCUUGACGGUACCUAAUCAGAAAGCCACGGCUAACUACGUGCCAGCAGCCGCGGUAAUACGUAGGUGGCAAGCGUUAUCCGGAAUUAUUGGGCGUAAAGCGCGCGUAGGCGGUUUUUUAAGUCUGAUGUGAAAGCCCACGGCUCAACCGUGGAGGGUCAUUGGAAACUGGAAAACUUGAGUGCAGAAGAGGAAAGUGGAAUUCCAUGUGUAGCGGUGAAAUGCGCAGAGAUAUGGAGGAACACCAGUGGCGAAGGCGACUUUCUGGUCUGUAACUGACGCUGAUGUGCGAAAGCGUGGGGAUCAAACAGGAUUAGAUACCCUGGUAGUCCACGCCGUAAACGAUGAGUGCUAAGUGUUAGGGGGUUUCCGCCCCUUAGUGCUGCAGCUAACGCAUUAAGCACUCCGCCUGGGGAGUACGACCGCAAGGUUGAAACUCAAAGGAAUUGACGGGGACCCGCACAAGCGGUGGAGCAUGUGGUUUAAUUCGAAGCAACGCGAAGAACCUUACCAAAUCUUGACAUCCUUUGACAACUCUAGAGAUAGAGCCUUCCCCUUCGGGGGACAAAGUGACAGGUGGUGCAUGGUUGUCGUCAGCUCGUGUCGUGAGAUGUUGGGUUAAGUCCCGCAACGAGCGCAACCCUUAAGCUUAGUUGCCAUCAUUAAGUUGGGCACUCUAAGUUGACUGCCGGUGACAAACCGGAGGAAGGUGGGGAUGACGUCAAAUCAUCAUGCCCCUUAUGAUUUGGGCUACACACGUGCUACAAUGGACAAUACAAAGGGCAGCGAAACCGCGAGGUCAAGCAAAUCCCAUAAAGUUGUUCUCAGUUCGGAUUGUAGUCUGCAACUCGACUACAUGAAGCUGGAAUCGCUAGUAAUCGUAGAUCAGCAUGCUACGGUGAAUACCUUCCCGGGUCUUGUACACACCGCCCGUCACACCACGAGAGUUUGUAACACCCGAAGCCGGUGGAGUAACCUUUUAGGAGCUAGCCGUCGAAGGUGGGACAAAUGAUUGGGGUGAAGUCGUAACAAGGUAGCCGUAUCGGAAGGUGCGGCUGGAUCACCUCCUUUCU